GGAGAUAAUAUGCUUAGCAUCUACUUCUACUUGUAUAGGUGUUAAGUUGUAUUGUAAGACUAAUUUAAAGCCUUCAAUCAAAGCACACAAGGCCUUCUGUAUAUGCUGCACGAAACCAAGUAUCCACGCUUCUCUAUUACGAAUUACUCCCCCAAUACCGCUAUUAUUUGUUCCAGUAGCCCCAUCAAUAUUUAACUUAUACGAAUUGUGUAUUGGAGGUUGCCAUUUGAGAUUUAAAGUUCUUCUUUUCCUAGGCCUAUGGUAAUGUGCUGUGAGAUAGGCAAACUCAAUGGCUUGUGUAGUUAUUGUAGAAAUAUUAACUUUAUCUCUUAUUAUGAUUACGAGUUGUCUAAAUAUUCCAUAAAAAUAUAGGGAGAAAUGUAUUUGAACUUACUUUAUGCGGGAGACUAACAUUUUUUAUAUGAAGUAAUGGAUAAAGCCAAUUAAUAGUACCUUGAAUGGGAAGAAUAUAAUUAAUAAUAUUGGUUAGACCUAAAUUCUCCCAAACACAUUUUGCAUUAGUAUAUUGAAGAAAAAUAUGGCAAAUGCUUUUUUCAGUAUUAUGACAGUAUGCAUAAUUGCUAUUUUGUACGAGUCCUAUAUGGGCAAGAUAUACCUUAGUUAGUAGCCGAUUAUGACAAAUCAACCAGAUAAAAAUUUAAAGUUUUGAUAAGAUUGACAACUUCCAUAUCCGAUUAAAAUAACCUUCCUCAACAUCGACCAAUGUUUAAAAGUUAAAACCAUCCUAUUGACUCAUAUUUUUAUAUGCAAAUAAAUGGUGCUGCUAUAGAGUGAUACGGUAUGUAACGUCUGCCUGUGCCAAACAUAAACACAAUGAGAUCAUUUUUAAAAUGGCUUUUAAUUUCUUCAAAGAGAAUCAUUCAUCAUUUUAUUCUUUCUUGACUUUUAUGCUAUUUAGAUAUUAAUAUUUUAUACAUGCUUUUGAAGAAUAUAAAAAUAAAACUUUUGUCAUAAAUGUUCCGUUUUGCCAGUUGAUGGAACAUGUAUCGUCUGCACAAUAAUCACAUAUGUUUGCUACAUUACAAUCUCUUUAUACACAUUAAUAUUGAUUUCAAAUCAAAGUUUGAAAAAGAUGAUGCUAAGAAAUUGAUUUAUUCCCUUUCCUAAACGAGUUCAAGAUGUGCCCAUACUGUAAAUGAGAUAAUAAUUAAAACUUUAUAACAAUUAUAAUUGGGAGCACUUGCCCUUCUCCCCAUUUUCGAAACCUCAAAAUAAUUAAAAAUAUAUAUCAGACUAUGAAUCCAAUUCAUCAAAACCUCAAUCCAAUUCAUCAAAACCUCAAUUUCCAACUCGCCUUUUGAUGAAGUUCAAUAUUGAUUCAAAUCAUCAGCUCCAUAACAACAAAUCACACAAUAUUUAGUGAAUCAAAUAAUUUGUGCAGGAAUAAUACAAGAACAUUCGGUUCACAAAACAUUCCGUGUUCAUGAAGGAUCCAUAGAAGGAUUUCAUCCUAAAGGGUGCCAUAUAAACCGUCUAUGUUAAUAGAAUCAUUAGUAACGGCUUCCACACACCCUAAUACAAGAACAUUUGUAAAAGCUCAAAACUCCCCUUUUCCACAGGCCUAAAAUAUCAGACAAGUACAAAUCGGAUUCUUUUGUUUUCUCUGUGAAUCCAAUCCCUUCAACUUCCAACUCAACUUUUAACAAAGUUCAAUAUUCAUUAAAACCCUCAAACAUCUCGCCUUUGUGGAAAAUUAUAAGCGUGAGAACUGUGAGUUGAUUGGGAAAUAAGAAACCGGAAUUGGAGCACCUUUACUUGUCUUCUUUUCACUCUUUCCAUUUUUCUCUGAUAAUUUUGACUUCUUAUUAGCAUCAUCAUCAGAAACUUUUGAAGGAACACUACUAAAGCAGCUCAAGAGCCCUAAAAAUAAAGCCAUUUUAUGAAUAUUUUGGUGAAAUUGGUGCUUUCACCAAUUUAAUAAAGAGAAAGUGCAAUUGUUGUUGUUUACUGCUGAAUGCUUGUAAUAAAACCAUAUAUAGAAGAAGUAUUUAUAGGGAAUAUAUAUUGUUCAAUGGUGGCUUCUGUGCUAAGCUUGGUGACCAAGUAAAUUACAAAAAAAACAUGAGGUCCAUGUUUUUUCUGUCGUUAUCAUACUUCUGCAGCUUCCUAGUGGCUACCGCCUUCACAAAAU
rnacentral:lncRNA from 1 species